rnacentral:rRNA from 1 species
AUUAAGCAUAUCAAUAAGCGGAGGAAAAGAAACCAACAGGGAUUGCCUUAGUAACUGCGAGUGAAGCGGCAAGAGCUCAAAUUUGAAAUCUGGCACCUUCGGUGUCCGAGUUGUAAUUUGUAGAAGCAUCUUUUGGAUUGGUCCUUGCAUAUGUUCCUUGGAACAGGACAUCAUAGAGGGUGAGAAUCCCGUUCAUGGUGGGGAAUCCAAUUCUUUGUAAAGUGCUUUCGAAGAGUCGAGUUGUUUGGGAAUGCAGCUCUAAGUGGGUGGUAAAUUCCAUCUAAAGCUAAAUAUUGGCGAGAGACCGAUAGCGAACAAGUACAGUGAUGGAAAGAUGAAAAGAACUCCGAAAGGAGAGUGAAAAAGGACGUGAAAUUGUUGAAAGGGAAGUGCUUGAGAUCAGUCUUAAGGUUUAGUGAUCAGUCUUCCUUUUGGUUGGUGCACUCACUAUUUCUUAGGCCAACAUCAGUUUUGGCGGCAGGAUAAUGACAUUGGAAUGUGGCUCUUUCGAGAGUGUUAUAGCCUUUGUUGAUACUGCCUGCUUGGACUGAGGACCGCGCUUUUGCUAGGAUGUUGGCAUAAUGAUCUUAAGCAGCCC